CGUAAUCAUGAGUGAUGGAAGAUUCUGAAAUUUCAGCAAUAUAUAUGCUGGCAAAUUCAGCAAGUGUUUCACAACCAAUCUGUUGUUUAUGAAAAAACAAGGUUGGGAAAUAAAAGUUAAAUAUUUGACCUUGUGACAAUUAAGGCAGAAUUAUGAAACACCAGUAUGUCCACAAACUUCAGUUUGUAUCGUUAUCCUUGAUUACAUAUAUGACAUUGUGCCAAAGCAAGAAGGUUGGAUAUCAUUUAGCAAAUAGCAUAGACAAAGCUUGUCACUAUUAAAGAAAUUUUGGAUACGAAACAUAUCAGAUCUUGAGAAGAAGAUUGCAUGUCAAUUUCUAAGCAUUUGGUUAGGGUUCCCUGUAAGACAGGGACACUUUUUAGUGGAUAUGAUGAAGAUAAAUUCUGCAAUACAAAUGAAUUUCAUUCUCUAUUGAGCCCAAUAACAUAGUUAAAGAUGUUGCGUGACUCAUGAUAGGUAAUGGAUAAUCAAAGCAUCCAAACAAGAACGUUGACAGUGUCAAUUUCCUUAUUACGUACACCAAUCAAUUGAGAAACUAAACAGAUAACAGAUACCUAUAAGUUCUGUGCUUCGAUGCUUGCAAACAACUAGGAAUUUUUACAGUAAUUCAGUAAAUUCAUUGGAAUCACCUCAUGUAUAGGAAUAGACAAGCGUAGCAAUUCAAAAGGACAACUCUGAAGGCAUUCCAAAAAUCACAGCUCCCUCUAAUUUAGCAAAACUCUCUCCAAGAAAGCUCUCACAUAUCUACAUUCACUAGCAAAUUUUGUUCUUUUAUAGCCCAAACUAUUCCCUCACCUCAUAUCGAUGCUCCUCGCAACGCCAUACUCGUGCCGCCUCCUUCCUGGCCAUCCGAUCACAAUCCAUUGGUUGAGCUCUCUCACAACAAACACAUUCCUGACGAGCAAAUCCAAGGCAUAGAUGCCCUUUUUGAGAGCCGAAUCCAGUUGCAAGCCGACAAACCCUUCGAGAACGUUCAAGAAAUUCUUGGAAAACUUUUGUAGCCACCCUUCAGAAGCGCCAGCCCUAGAAAUCCAUCGGAGAAAGCGAUGCGGUCGCGUCCCCGAUCAAAUUCACGGCGCCUAAAUAGGCUCUGAUCGUCUUGGCAGCAGGGGAAGGGAUUCCGGGGUUAACUCCCACCGGAAUGAAGCGCUUCGAAGCCUUGCAGCCCUUGAUCAAGGCCUUGGAGGCGAAACGAUCGCUUUAGGGGAAGGCGAGUGGAGAUCCUGGAGGUCCUUGGUGCCCUUGAUGGCGGUGGAGAGGGGCUUGAUUAAUCGGGAUCGCAUGAAGAGGAGAAAACCUCACCCAAACCCAAAUCCAACUCCAAAUCCCAACCUU
rnacentral:lncRNA from 1 species